CUGUCGUUGAUUUACUCCUAACUGACCUAGCUUACCUACUCUGUUAAUUCAGAGUCCCUGACUAGGUUGCUCAGUUAUCACCGGCUGAAACAUUACAGGCAAAUCUACCUGUGAUGCUGUAGAACAAUUCCCUCUACCAAUAUAAGUUAUGUGAUCGUAUAGUUUUAUGUACAUCUAAUCGUCUGCGUUGUGUCCAAAAUCAAAGCCAAUAUCCAAUACUGGAUAAUGGUUCUUAGUGGCUGGUUCUUGUAAUGGUGCAGAAGCUAUUUUAACAUCUCUGGAGGCAGUACCAUCGCCCUCAACAUUAGUUGACACCAUUUGAUCGCCACCAAGGUAUCGUGUGACUAUUUGAACCUCUCUAUUACUAAAUUCUCUUGGCUAAACACCUAUU
rnacentral:lncRNA from 1 species